GACGGUCUGCGCUUCCCGGCAGGAGAGACAUAUCCCCGGGGCCUUAUCGAUCUCGAAGGGAGCUGUCCCUGACCGGACCCGUGGGUCCGGACAUAUGGCGCCCACCUACUUUGUAGGUUCCCGGGAUCGACUUCUUCACCGGUCGUGUGGAUCGUCA
rnacentral:other from 1 species